GACGAACGCUGGCGGCGUGCUUAACACAUGCAAGUCGAACGCUGAAGGCUCAGCUUGCUGGGCUGGAUGAGUGGCGAACGGGUGAGUAACACGUGAGUAACCUGCCCUCUUCUUUGGGAUAACGGUCGGAAACGGCUGCUAAUACCGGGUAUUCACUGUCCUUCGCAUGGGGGGUGGUGGAAAGGUUUUUUCUGGUGGGGGAUGGGCUCGCGGCCUAUCAGCUUGUUGGUGGGGUGAUGGCUUACCAAGGCUUUGACGGGUAACCGGCCUGAGAGGGUGACCGGUCACAUUGGGACUGAGAUACGGCCCAGACUCCUACGGGAGGCAGCAGUGGGGAAUAUUGCACAAUGGGCGAAAGCCUGAUGCAGCGACGCCGCGUGAGGGAUGGAGGCCUUCGGGUUGUAAACCUCUUUCGCUCAUGGUCAAGCCGCAACUCAAGGUUGUGGUGAGGGUAGUGGGUAAAGAAGCACCGGCUAACUACGUGCCAGCAGCCGCGGUAAUACGUAGGGUGCGAGCGUUGUCCGGAAUUAUUGGGCGUAAAGGGCUUGUAGGCGGUUUGUCGCGUCUGCCGUGAAAUCCUCUGGCUUAACUGGGGGCGUGCGGUGGGUACGGGCAGACUUGAGUGCGGUAGGGGAGACUGGAACUCCUGGUGUAGCGGUGGAAUGCGCAGAUAUCAGGAAGAACACCGGUGGCGAAGGCGGGUCUCUGGGCCGUUACUGACGCUGAGGAGCGAAAGCGUGGGGAGCGAACAGG
rnacentral:rRNA from 1 species